AGAGUUUGAUUAUGGCUCAGAUUGAACGCUGGCGGAAUGCUUUACACAUGCAAGUCGAGCGGCAGCGCGGGGCAACCUGGCGGCGAGCGGCGAACGGGUGAGUAAUACAUCGGAACGUACCCUGUCGUGGGGGACAACGAAUCGAAAGAUUCGCUAAUACCGCAUACGACCUGAGGGUGAAAGCGGGGGAUCGCAAGACCUCGCGCGACUGGAGCGGCCGAUGUCGGAUUAGCUAGUUGGUGAGGUAAAGGCUCACCAAGGCGACGAUCCGUAGCGGGUCUGAGAGGACGGCCCGCCACACUGGGACUGAGACACGGCCCAGACUCCUACGGGAGCCAGCAGUGGGGAAUUUUGGACAAUGGGGGCAACCCUGAUCCAGCCAUUCCGCGUGAGUGAAGAAGGCCUUCGGGUUGUAAAGCUCUUUCGGCAGGAACGAAAAGGUGUGGGCUAAUACCCUGCAUCAAUGACGGUACCUGAAGAAGAAGCACCGGCUAACUACGUGCCAGCAGCCGCGGUAAUACGUAGGGUGCGAGCGUUAAUCGGAAUUACUGGGCGUAAAGCGUGCGCAGGCGGUUUUGUAAGACAGAUGUGAAAUCCCCGGGCUUAACCUGGGAACUGCGUUUGUGACUGCAAGACUCGAGUGUGGCAGAGGGGGGUGGAAUUCCACGUGUAGCAGUGAAAUGCGUAGAGAUGUGGAGGAACACCGAUGGCGAAGGCAGCCCCCUGGGUUAACACUGACGCUCAUGCACGAAAGCGUGGGUAGCAAACAGGAUUAGAUACCCUGGUAGUCCACGCCCUAAACGAUGCGAACUAGGUGUUGGGGAAGGAGACUUCCUUAGUACCGCAGCUAACGCGUGAAGUUCGCCGCCUGGGGAGUACGGUCGCAAGAUUAAAACUCAAAGGAAUUGACGG
rnacentral:rRNA from 1 species